AACGAACGCUGGCGGCAGGCCUAACACAUGCAAGUCGAGCGAGGACUUCGGUUCUAGCGGCGGACGGGUGAGUAACGCGUGGGAAUGUGCCCUUCUCUACGGAAUAGCCCUGGGAAACUGGGAGUAAUACCGUAUACGCCCUAUUGGGGAAAGAUUUAUCGGAGAAGGAUCAGCCCGCGUUGGAUUAGGUAGUUGGUGGGGUAAUGGCCUACCAAGCCGACGAUCCAUAGCUGGUUUGAGAGGAUGAUCAGCCACACUGGGAAUGAGACACGGCCCAGACUCCUACGGGAGGCAGCAGUGGGGAAUCUUAGACAAUGGGGGCAACCCUGAGCUAUCCAUGCCGAGUGAGUGAUGAAGGCCUUAGGGUUGUAAAGCUCUUUUAGCUGGGAAGAUAAUGACGGUACCAGCAGAAGAAGCCCCGGCUAACUCCGUG
rnacentral:rRNA from 1 species